UUGCUGUGGUAUUUUGACUAUACAAAGGUAUUGUAAUAAGGUUUUAAAUGGACUCUAAGAGAAGGGCUUAACAAUGACUGACUUUUCUUUUUUUAGGAUUGGAAGUUGAUAUAAAAAUGAAAAAGUUUUUAUGUAAAAUUGGGACAAGAAGACCCUAUGAAUUUUUCAUAAGUUUAGUUAUAUAUUUAUUUAAGAAAUUAGAUAUAAUUGGAUGAGUGUUGGUUGGGGCGACUAUUAAAGCUUAGGAAUCUUUAAAUGAAAAAUAAGAAGAUCCGCUAUUAGCGAAAAUAUGAACAAAAUACUCUAGGGAUAACAGCGUAAUUAUUUUGGAUAGUUCAAAUAGAUAAAAUAGUUUGCGACCUCGAUGUUGGAUUAAGAUACUCAUAUAAUGCAGGGUUAUAUGGAGGAGUUUGCUCAACUUUUAAAAUCUUACAUGAU
rnacentral:rRNA from 1 species